CUCAGGGAUCUCUUGUCAAAGGACGACAGAGACCUGGAUUCUGCCCAGAGGUGCCCAAAGGUACUAUGGGAAUUUGUGUUGAAAUGUGCUCAGGAGAUGAUUCCUGUCCUGAGGGAGCGAAAUGCUGCAGCAAUGGGUGUGGUCACGUCUGCAAAACUGCUGUCUUCAGAGUUGGCUCUGGUGGCCGUGGGAAAGCUGGGCUGGACAGUUAUUGAGCAUACCUGAAGAACAGCACCUGAAGAUUUCUUAUGAAUCCACGAAUUCGAUGCUUGGCAUAACAAGACUUCCAUAUCCAUUCCUUGCUCUUUCCUUUGCCUGGAAUUGUAGCCCUGGGGGAUAAAGAUCUAAAAUGGUGCAGGGGCUGUUUCUAAAAACACUUGUGUUCAAAAUAAACUAAAUCUGUGGCAUA